rnacentral:rRNA from 1 species
UACGAAGGGGGCUAGCGUUGCUCGGAAUUACUGGGCGUAAAGCGCACGUAGGCGGAUUGUUAAGUCGGGGGUGAAAUCCUGGAGCUCAACUCCAGAACUGCCUUCGAUACUGGCGAUCUCGAGUUCGGGAGAGGUGAGUGGAACUGCGAGUGUAGAGGUGAAAUUCGUAGAUAUUCGCAAGAACACCAGUGGCGAAGGCAGCCAUCUGGACCGACACUGACGCUGAGGCGCGAAAAGCGUGGGGAGCAAACAGGG